UACAGAGGUCUCAAGCGUUGUUCGGAAUCACUGGGCGUAAAGGGCGCGUAGGCCGCACGGAAAGUCAGAGGUGAAAUCCUGGAGCUCAACUUCGGAAUUGCCUCCGAUACUCCCGUGCUUGAGGACUGGAGAGGAGUCUGGAAUUCACAGUGGAGCAGUGAAAUGCGUAGAUAUUGUGAGGAACACUAGUGGCGAAGGCGAGACUCUGGACAGUUCCUGACGCUGAGGCACGAAGGCCAGGGGAGCAAACGGG
rnacentral:rRNA from 1 species